AUGGGAGAGACCUAUGAUCCACUUCUUGGGACCUGGGUUGUGCAAGGAACUGUCUUCCAUCAGCUGGGGGCCUUGUUAACACGCUCCCAGAGUCAUAUGUCCUCGAUUUGGCGACGGGUGGAACCUUUGGUCUUCCUUGGAACAGCUGUUAGUUUGGGUUGUGCAGCAUGGAGGUACUAUGAUCGUAAAGCGGCUCUGCGCACCUACGGCCGUCACAUGACCGGCAAGGCAGUCGGACCAGUUGUCGGCCGUGAUGACGAGAUCGACCGCGUUAUUUCUAUCCUCUGCCGCAAGACCAAGAACUGCGCCGCGCUGGUCGGCCCCGCGGGGGUCGGCAAGACGGCCAUCGCCGAGGGCCUCGUGCAGCGCAUCGCUACCGGCAAGGUACCUGCCGCGCUCGCCGGGGCACGCGUCGUGGAGGUCGACCUCGGGGCCAUGGUUGCCGGAACCAGGUACCGCGGUAUGUUUGAAGAGCGGAUGAAGAGCGUGAUCAACCAGGCGGAGAAAGCGGGCGGCAAGAUAAUUCUCUUCAUCGAUGAGAUGCACAUGCUUCUUGGUGCUGGGGCUGGUCGUGGAGUUACUGGUGCUUCAACCAUGCUGAAACCAGCGUUGGCUCGUGGUCGUAUCCGCUGUGUAGGCGCGACGACUUUUGAUGGUUACCGCAAUUACAUUGAGAAGGAUCCCGCUCUCGAGCGGCGAUUCCAGAAGGUACACAUCGAGGAGCCAAGCACGCAGGCGACAAUUGGCAUUCUGCGGGGGCUAAAGCAGCAGUAUGAACAGCACCAUGGCUUGGAAAUCCAAGAUGCUGCUCUUGUUGCUGCUGCACAGCUUGCUGGCCGCUACAUCACUGGUCGUCAAUUUCCGGAUAAGGCCAUUGAUCUGAUUGAUGAGGCGUGCAGUGCCACAAUAAAAAGGUUGAUGCAGAUUGACAACCAAGUAGAGGAACUUAAUGCAAAGCAGAGUCGCUCUGCAAAUUCAGUGAAGGGAGCAACUGUUGUACCAAAUGAUGUCGCACAAGUUGUGAGCCUAUGGACUGGAAUUCCUGUCUGUACACUUGAGCAAGAGGACAAGGCUAAGUUAAUCCACCUAGCGGACGGGCUGCAUGAGCGAGUUGUUGGACAGGAUGAAGCGGUAAAUGUGGUCGCCGAAGCAGUAUUGCGUUCAAGGGCUGGCCUUAAUCAUCCCGGCCAACCCAUAGGAUCUUUCCUCUUCUUGGGCUCAACUGGUGUUGGAAAGACUGAGCUUGCAAAAGCUCUUGCUGAGGAGCUAUUCGCAAGUGAGAAGAUGUUGGUUCGCUUUGACAUGUCUGAAUAUGUUGGCAGUGGAUCUGUUUUGCGUCUCGUUGGAGCACCCCCAAGCCGUCAGGGCUGUGAUGAUGGUGGGCAACUGACUGAGAAAGUUAGGAGCCGCCCGUACAGUGUCAUUCUUUUCGAUGAGGUGGAGAAGGCGGAUCCCUCGGUGUUGAACAUCUUUAUUCAACUUCUUGAUGAUGGUGUGUUGACCGAUGGCAAAGGUCGGACUGUAAAUUUCAAGAAUACCAUCAUCAUUUUGACCUCAAAUCUAGGAGCAGAGCACCUCAUGGCAGGAAUGGCCGGAGAAAUCACAAUGGAUGUGGCACGUGACCUUUUGAUGAAACAGGUUCAGAAACACUUCAAGCCAGAGUUACUCAACAGGCUGAGUGAGAUUGUGGUAUUUGAGCCGCUUUUGCAUGACAAACUGAAGGAGAUUGUGAAAAUCCAAAUGAAGAGCGUCAUUUCCAGGGUAGCUGACAAGGGCAUCUCCCUUUUUGCAAGUGAUGCCGCGCUGGACGUCAUUUUGUCGGAAUCAUACAACCCAAUGUAUGGUGCAAGGCCCAUAAGGAGAUGGUUGCAGAAGAAUGUGAUGAUUAAGCUGUCCCAAAUGCUGGUCAAAGGUGAAGCCAGUGAAGGCUCGACGAUUUCCAUUGAUGCUACGGAUGACAAGAAGAAGCUCAAGUUUGAAGUAGUGAAGAAGGUCGAGGAGUGA
rnacentral:rRNA from 1 species